rnacentral:lncRNA from 10 species
CCUCUACAGUUUUCCUGACUGCUACAUUUCAUAAGAAGGGAUUGUUUAUGAGGGUCAAGGAGCUGGAGGCCUGGGGAGGAGCUGGUGUUUCUGUUCAAGUUUGAGGGUCCUGGAGCUGGAGCCCAGGGGAGGAGCCAGUGCUGCCACUGAUGUCUUAGGGUCGUGGAGCUGAAGAUCCCAGAGGAGCCGGUGCUGCUAUUCUAGCUUGAGUUUCGUGGAGCUGGAGACCCAGGGAGAAGAUGGUGCUGCUGUUCUAAUUUAAGGAUCGUGAAACAGAAGACCCAGAAAGGAGCUGGUGCUGCCGCUGCUCAGAUCUGAGGGUGUUGGAGCUGGAGCCUGGGGGUGGAGCCAUUGCUGCCAUUGAAGUGUGAGAGUCAUUGAGCUGGAAGUCCAGGAAGCAGCUGGUGCUGCUGUUCUAGUUUGAGGGUUGUGGAGUGCAGACCCAGGCAGGAGCAACAUUGCUGUAGUUCGAGGGUCAGAAAGCUGGCGACCCAGGGAGGAGAGGUCUUGUUCUAGUUUGAUUUUCGUGGAGCUGCAGACCCAGGCAGGAGCAAUGUUGCUGUAGUUCGAGGGUCCGGUAGCUGGCAACCCGGGGAGGAGAAGUCUUGUUCUGGUCUGAGGGUCAUGGAGCUGCAGACCCAGGGAGGAGCAAUGUUGUUGUAAUUCGAGGGUGUGGUAGCUGGCAACCUGGGGAGGAGAAGUCUUGUUCGAGUUUGAGGCUCGUGGAGCUGCCGACCAGGGAGGAGCAAUUUUGUUGCAGUUCGAGGGUCAGGAAGCUGGCGACCCAGGGAGGAGAGGUCUUGUUCUAGUUUGAGGGUCGUGGAGCUGCAGACCCAUGGAGGAGCAAUUUUGUUGUAAUUCGAGGGUCUGGAAGCUGGAGACCCAGGGAGGAGAGGUCUUGUUCUGGUCUGAGGGUCCUGGAGCUACAGACCCAGGGAGGAGCAAUGUUGUUGUAAUUUGAGGGUUCGGUAGCUGGCACCCUGGGGAGGAGAAGUCUUGUUCUAGUUUGAGGGUGGUGGAGCUGCAGAGCCAGGGAGGAGCAGUGUUGUUGUAGUUUGAGGGUCAUGGAGGUACAGACCCAGGGAGGAGCCGUGUUGUUUUGAGUGUCGUGGAGCCGGAGAUCCACGGAGGAGCUGG